rnacentral:rRNA from 1 species
UACGUAGGGUGCAAGCGUUGUCCGGAAUUACUGGGCGUAAAGAGCUCGUAGGCGGCUUGUCGCGUCGACUGUGAAAACCCAUGGCUCAACCAUGCGGUCUGCAGUCGAUACGGGCAGGCUAGAAUUCGGUAGGGGAGACUGGAAUUCCUGGUGUAGCGGUGGAAAUGCGCAGAUAUCAGGAGGAACACCGGUGGCGAAGGCGGGUCUCUGGGC